rnacentral:rRNA from 1 species
UAGUCCACGCCGUAAACGAUGGACACUAGUUGUUGGGAAUUAUUUUCAGUGACUAGGCGAAAGUGAUAAGUGUCCCACCUGGGGAGUACGAUCGCAAGAUUGAAACUCAAAGGAAUUGACGGGGGCCCGCACAAGCGGUGGAGCAUGUGGUUUAAUUCGAUGAUACGCGAGGAACCUUACCAGAACUUAAAUGCCAUACGACAAUUUAGGAGACUAAAUUUUCUUCGGACGUUUAGCAAGGUGCUGCAUGGUUGUCGUCAGCUCGUGCCGUGAGGUGUCAGGUUAAGUCCUAUAACGAGCGCAACCCCUAUCUUCAGUUGCCAGCAAGUAAUGUUGGGGACUCUGGAGAGACUGCCGGCGUAAGCCGUGAGGAAGGUGGGGAUGACGUCAAAUCAUCAUGGCCUUUAUGCCCAGGGCUACACACGUGCUACAAUGGCGCAUACAGAGGGCAGCGAAACCGCGAGGUGGAGCAAAUCCCAGAAAGUACGUCCCAGUUCGGA